CCAUCGUUCUAAUUGGGAGGGGAGCGCGGCAGUCCCGUCAAGAAUGAACCAUAGCAAUAAUGGCGGGAAUAUACACACACGCAUACAUAUUUAUCGACUUUAUGUGGAAAAACAUAAGUCAACGUUACCCUGUGAAACAGAUUUAAUUUUGGGCAAAAUAUUAAUUCUUUAGCCCAUCGAGAUCAAUAGCUUUGUUAUAUCUACUUUUUUUAAAUAAAUACAUAUAUUUAAGAGUCGUUAAUGAUCCCGCAGUCAAUGCGAUAUAAAGC